ACAUGCUCUGGUCUAGCCAGAAUGGAAAGGCAGGACUGGGGUCAUGUUAGUGGGGGGAGAGGAAGCCUCAAAGGACCAGAGCAGCAACCAGUGUCCUCUCAGUUAGUCUGAUUCAAGCUGAAGGAGGUCAACUAUGUGUCAAAGUUUUCAUUCUUCAAUAGAAUCACAAAAAGUUAAAAAAAGAAAUAGAUGGAAGAAGUACUUUUACAUUAAAACACAUCCAAGUUUUAAACUGAAAAAGAUAGGUGAAAAACCGUUGAGAACCUGGAUGAAGUUAUUCAUAAAAAGUAACCCUUGGGGUCAGUUUGGGAGAAAGCUGUGGCUGUGGCUGGUUUGGGGCACAUGGAAGGAUUUCUGCCUGGAAAAGGUCUGUUUCAUGUCCUGCGUGCCUGUCACAGGGCACUUGGUUGGUGACAAUAUAUUCUGUAUUAUUUCCCUUUGGGUUUCCCUUCACCAUAAGAAGCUGUAGAAAACUACUGCUGCUUGAAUGACACCGUAUAGCCUCUCGGGCCUUCGCUUGUUUCCUGGAGCCAUGAGCAAGGAGCGUUUGCUCACUCUGGAGUUUCACUUCACAGCCCACCAUGCUGACCGCCAGCAGGGAUUUGUCAUGCUGCCUGAAAAAUGGGCUCUCACCAGCAGCCCGUCCAGGAGAAGGAGCAAGGUGUCCACGUGGAUCCUCUGAUAAGACCUCCUUGUGCCUCCUUUCUCACAGGAGGAGUCGUCUGAAGGAGAGCUAACAGUGGCGAAGGGGAAGGAAUCUUCAUGGACUGGCUGCCCCCACCCCCUGACUAAGGAGCCCUGGUGGUCCGGUGUUUAAAGAGUGCCACUGUGAACAAGAGACUGGUGGCUUUAACUCUUCAGCCACUCCAUAAUACCAUCCUGUGACUGAUUGGAAAUUAGAAACUAGAAUGAACACGAAUGAGUUCCCUACAGAGAGUUUGAGGAGCACGGACACAGAUACCCUAGAAUCAAGAGAUCCGUUGAUGAAAAGACAGCACAAAACAAAGUGAAAACGAGAAAAAGCACUGAGUGAGAGAGCUGACUUUCCUCGUGUAAAACUGACAAAGGACUGAAAAUCCAGACCAAGUUCAUUCAAGCCAACGAGAAGAACCUGAGCAGAAGAGCCUGCCGGUCAUGUCACAUCAAAGGAAAUCCUGGGGCCAAGAAGCGUGUGGCAUGUUCAACCUCCGUCUAUCAGGGACAACGAAAACUUAAAGUCAUCAGAGAGGUCAAAGGUCAGGCUCACCGUCCUGAGGGUGGCUGAGGACACAGGUGUCCACCAUGAUGGAAAACCAACAACAAAAUAAUUCUAGAAAAUUGUCUGACAAUAUCUACCAAAGCUAGCAAUUCAGUUCCCAGACACACCACAAAUAUUUGGCCUGAGUUAGUUGAAUGGCAGGUGCAAGAAUCCUCAGACAUGCUGUCUCUGCAGUUCUCCCAAAUUGAAAUAACCUGAAUAUACCGCCGUCCAAAGAACAGACGAGAUGUGGUAUGUUCAUAGCAUCGAAAACUAACCCGCCGUGAACCGUCACAAAGCACGCAGCUUGGUCCAACAACACCAUGAAUCUGACAAGCAUACAGAACUGUUGCAGGGGGUCACCAUGGGUCAGAGAGUUUCAGUAGACAGACUGGCUUAUCAACUUACUUAUAUCUUGGCGCUACACUUUGUCAUCUGGAAGGUAAGGUCCUUCAGGUGAGGCCUUGUGGGGAGGAGGUAGAUGUUAUAUCACCGAUAGAUCCUAGAGCAGGGAAAAUGUCAGAGUUAGACGCACAAGUCUAUGGUAUCAAAGUUAGAGGCUGCUACUGGAACUCAGGACGCCAGACCUCCUGUUGCUGGAGUCCUUGCACUAGAGACCCCCCCUCUCCACCCCCUCU